CAGUCGAACGGAGUACGAGAGCAGAAGGUUUCGGCUGGAAGUUUGAAAUACUUAGUGGCGGACGGGUGAGUAACGCGUGGGUAACGUACCUAUCAGAGGGGAAUAACAAUGAGAAAUCAGUGCUAAUACCGCAUAAGGUUCAGUCAUCGCAUGAUGGCAGAAGGAAAGGUGGCGGACUCGAGAGAGGCUAUCGCUGAUAGAGCGACCCGCGUCUGAUUAGCUAGUUGGUGGGGUAAAGGCCUACCAAGGCGACGAUCAGUAGCCGGCCUGAGAGGGUGGACGGCCACAUUGGGACUGAGACACGGCCCAAACUCCUACGGGAGGCAGCAGUGGGGAAUCUUCCGCAAUGGGCGCAAGCCUGACGGAGCAAUGCCGCGUGAACGAAGAAGGUCUUCGGAUUGUAAAGUUCUGUCCUUAUCGAAGAGAGGGUAUAGAGUGAAAAAUGAUAUACUAGGACGGUAGAUGAGGAGGAAGCCCCGGCUAACUACGUGCCAGCAGCCGCGGUAAUACGUAGGGGGCGAGCGUUGUCCGGAAUCACUGGGCGUAAAGGGCGCGUAGGCGGUAAUAUAAGUCAGAUGUGAAAGGUGGGGGCUCAACCCCUAGAGUGCAACUGAUACUGUAUAACUUGAGUGUGAGAGAGGGAAGCGGAAUUCCUAGUGUAGCGGUGAAAUGCGUAGAUAUUAGGAGGAACACCAGUGGCGAAGGCGGCUUUCUGGCUCAUAACUGACGCUGAGGCGCGAAAGCGUGGGGAGCAAACAGGAUUAGAUACCCUGGUAGUCCACGCCGUANACGAUGGGUACUAGGUGUUAGGGGNUUCGAUGCCCUU
rnacentral:rRNA from 1 species